rnacentral:lncRNA from 1 species
GGUAUUUUACAUUCAAAAUGUAUGUUUUUUUCCAAAAUUAAAGUAUUUGGGACUGAAUUGCACUAAGAUAUAACCUGCAAGCAUAUAAUACAAAAAAAAAUCGCAAAAACUGUUUAGAACGCUAAUAAAAUUUAUGCAGUUAUAAAAUGGCAUUACUGCACAGUUUUAAAGUGAUGCAGAUUUUUUACAGUUAUGUUGUGGUGCAGAACUGGAUUUUCUGUAACUUAAAAAAAUCCACAGUUUUAAAGGCAAUAACCAGUAAAUGUUAUUUUCAGGGACUGACAUCCUGUCUUAGAAAGAAAGAAAGAAAGAAAGAAAGAAAGAAAGAAAGAAAGAAAGAAAGAAAGAAAGAAAAGGAAAGGAAAUCUUACCACAAUAAAUAUAAGAAAUCUUGUCAGUUACUUUUCUUUUACAUAUUUUGCUGUGCAAAAUUGUUUUAUAACUUGAGUUACUAACUAACCACGCGUGACGUUCUACAUGCUUCUCUUUCAUUUUCAAUUCUGGUUAUAUCAAGAGAAAGAAUAAUCUACAAUAAUAAACUGCAUUUUUUUUGAUUCUGUUCCGUUUCUUAGUGUACAGAUUAACUGGGUCCCAUGUCUUGGAGCUUGGAUAUGAAAUACAAAAUGCAUUCUCUUUGAUUUCUGAACAAGGGAGUUGGAGGCAGGAAUUCUAUUCUGAGAGGCAGGAGAUUGACACCAUAUAGUCAGUAACAAUAUUUAAUAUUAAUACAAAUUAUGACAUCUUAUUUUUUCUCCUCACAGAUCUUAGUUUCCUAAUAGGCUGAGCUAGUAAGGAAAAAAAGUGAGAAAGAGGGACAGUGAGAGAGAAAGAUAGAGAGAUAGACAGACAGACAGACAGACAGACAGAGACACACACACACACACACACACACACACACACACACACACACUGAGAGCACAUAGGAGCUUUCUGAACAGGACUCUAAGCUUCUGACGAAGGAGCACAGAUAGAGGGACUGGGACCAGCAAGUCUGGCUCACCAGAGGUGCAUGGGAACAUAUGCAUUUAAUGGUAAAGAUAAAUAAUUCUUGCCGUUUGGCCAAAAUUGAUUAUUUUUUCUUCUUCCCUUACAUGUUGUGAUUUUCUUGUUGGCACAGUCCUGACAAGACUAAACAUAAACACUUUGCACAAAUCAAAGUUGUUUGAUUUUGCUCUUUUUUCCCCCUGUCAUUUUUUUUUAAACUUUUCAAGUCACUUGUCCUAAAUGGGAAAAAGAAAGUCUAUCAUUUGCACACAGAGUUUCCAGUUCACACCAGGUUUUAUCUAUAUUAUCUAACUAUAUUUCGAAUAGUCAAAGAGCUGUCUCCAAGCAUAUAAGCUAGGGAUAACUACAUGAGUCCCCCAAAUAUAAAUAUACAAAGAAAACAACAUUUUCAUGGGGUGUAGGCGGUGCUCUGAUAUAUUGCUGUUUGCCCCCAAAGCAGGUUAUGAAUGGGGUCUAAUUGAAUGAUCACUUGGAAAAAUAUCUCAAUUACCUUCAGUUGAAUUCCUAAACCCUGACCCAUUUAAAACUGACACAAAUUCCUGCAACCAUGUUACAAAUACAUGGCAUUUUCUCUUUCGGUAGGACUCCCUGAGAAUUAAUCCCAUAGUAGACAAAGCCAACACUGUUUUGGAAAUAUAGCGAAACACAAAUGACUUUUGUCUGAUUAUGUUUUCGAUUCUUUUUUCUUUUUUAAAAUACUAGCUAAUAUUGCAACCCACCAUGCAGGCCUGAUUUCUAAGGAAUCGGGUAGCCCUUCAGGCUGGGGAAUCCUGGCCUGUUUCUCAUGGGCCUUGGCUCUUUUGCACAGAACACAGACUGUUUACACUUCCUAUGUUGGCGUCACUCGGUGAGCUUAGACGUGAGUCCUCAAAACACUUAGUUCUGCUUGACAGAGAAAUCUUAAUGGCAAAACUUCUCUUCUAUGCUCUAAGUUAGCCGUCCUCAGCUUUAGAGAUUUUCAUCAUCUGACUACAGCCAGAAAAUAGGCACACAUUACCAGUCUGGCGAGGAGGAAAUGGGUAUAUCACUUGGACCCAAAGCUCAGCACCAGAAGAAAGAGUUUAGGCAAAUAUAUUCUUAGGCACAAGAGGCAUUUGUAACACGAUGGUCGCAGUUGUUUAUCAAAGAGUAAGACCUGGGUUGGGGUGGGGGAGAUGCAAUUAUAUAUAAUAAUUAAUCACUUUGAUAGAGUUCUAUAAAGCAGUUCAAUAUCAGAAGCCAGUUUGGGCCCUGGACAUUAGAAAAUGAGACAGCACCAUCAGAAUAAAGAGGAGGCGGAGUGACUGGCUCAAAGCAAAAGUUAACCUUCACUGAAAAGCGCUUUCAGACACGAGAGACUUCAGAAGAUAAUACUAAACAGAACUAAACGC